rnacentral:rRNA from 1 species
AUGAAAGUAAAGAACACAGGGGAUACUGCCUCAAGAAGUCUUUUAUGGACUAAAGCAAUCAAAUGUUGUUUUGUGUUAAAUAAAAUGAGAGGACAAUUGUAUUCGUGCAAAGUUAUAGAAUGGGAAAUUCAUUUCCUAAUCCUAUGCAUGUGCAUGAUGUCCUACUUGCUAGUGGUGAUGUCAAUCUACUGCAGCAGGAGAAAAGAAGUUCUUAUUCUCAAAGUUCAAAAGAAUGUUCUCAGUAGAGUGACUCUUGUUAUAAUUAUUAAGAUUCACCAAGAAAAGAAUACAAGGGGUAUUAGGAGUGUCGCAUGA